rnacentral:rRNA from 1 species
AUUGAACGCUGGCGGCAGGCCUAACACAUGCAAGUCGAACGAGUGGCGGACGGGUGAGUAAUGUCUGGGAAUCUGCCCGAUGGAGGGGGAUAACUACUGGAAACGGUAGCUAAUACCGCAUACCAUCAGAUGUGCCCAUAUGGGAUUAGCUUGUAGGUGGGGUAACGGCGCACCUAGGCGACGAUCCCUAGCUGGUCUGAGAGGAGGACCAGCCACACUGGGACUGAGACACGGCCCAGACUCCUACGGGAGGCAGCAGUGGGGAAUAUUGCACAAUGGGGGCAAGCCUGAUGCAGCCAUGCCGCGUGUAUGAAGAAGGCCUUCGGGUUGUAAAGUACUUUCAGCCGGGAGGCGUUACCGGCAGAAGAAGCACCGGCUAACUCCGUGCCAGCAGCCGCGGUAAUAC